AUAGCGUAUAUUAAAGUUGUUGCAGUUAAAAAGCUCGUAGUUGAACUUCAGCCUUGGCCGGGCGGUCUGCCUCACGGUAUGUACUGUCUGGCUGAGGCUUACCUCUUGGUGAGCCCGUAUGCCCUUUACUGGGUGUGCGGGGGAACCAGGACUUUUACUUUGAGAAAAUUAGAGUGUUCAAAGCAGGCAAUUGCCCGAAUACAUUAGCAUGGAAUAAUAGAAUAGGACGUGCGGUUCUAUUUUGUUGGUUUCUAGAGUCGCCGUAAUGAUUAAUAGGGAUAGUUGGGGGCAUUAGUAUUCAGUUGCUAGAGGUGAAAUUCUUGGAUUUACUGAAGACUAACUACUG
rnacentral:rRNA from 1 species